UAAAUAAUUUGUACUGUUAAACAUGUACAACACGUAGCAGUUAUCUCAUAUGAUGAACCAUGACGCUAAACAGAGUAAAGGGACAUCUUCCUUUCGACCCGAUGAACUCCAUCGCCGACCUGACCUGGGUCAAGAUAGUCGGUGUUGGUGACAGCGGGGUCGGCAAAACUUGUCUAGUUAAAAGAUUCUGCGAGGAGAAGUUUACAGCAAAGUUUCACCCGACAGUUGGUAUAGAUUACGGCUUUAAGAUACACGUUAUCGGGGAUGUGGAUGUCAGGGUACACUUCUGGGACAUGGCUGGAAAGUUCGAGUACUAUGACGUUCGAAACGAGCUGUACAGUCAGACACAGGCAGUAAUGUUGGUGUACGAUGUGACUAACCGUGCAUCCUUCCAAAGCAUGGAGGCGUGGAACAGGGAGUGUGUCCGGUGUGCUAGCUCCUUCCCCCUGGCCACUGUAGUGGUUGCUAAUAAGGUCGACCAAGACGUUGAACGGGUUGUAUCACGUGAAGAAGGCGAGAAAUGGGCCAAAUCUCACAAACUAACCUACUGGGAAACAUCCGCCGCCACGGGAGUUGGCGUUUUCAGCAUGUUCCAUUCUCUGUUGCAAGAUGUGGUGGAAAAGAUGAGGAAUCCUCACAAUGAAUCGUACGGUGACGAUGGUUUAGAGAAGUGAGGUCCUCCUAACAAAUGGAAUUUGCACUAAAAGAUCGGUCACUGAAACACUUUAUGUCUUACAUGUGGAAUUGGAACACUCUGUGCAUUAUCCCCAGACCCCAUGUUUUGAUUUAUGUCAGAAGAAUUUGAAUGUGUGACGUUGGAUUGUCAGUGUUUGUGCAGUUAAAAGGAGUGAUCGAAGAUCUGAAUCAUAAUAUGACAAUUGGGUUGUGUUGGUAAUCAACGACAAGCUCUGUAAUGAUAAAACUGCACAAGAAAAAAUAGGAGAUAAUUAAAAAUCAAGAUGUUUUACUCGAAGAAUUCCUCAAUCUGAGACGAUCUGACAUUCUGAUUCUCGAAAAAUCCUGCCCUAUCACUGUAGCAUGAAUUUCUUGUGCCAAAUUAGGUGGAUCCAGACUGAACGAAUUAAAAGAACGUGCUUUAGAAGAGUGGCCCGAGGUCGAACACGAUUUCAGCUCCUCUGGACCCUUGGCCUGGAUCAAACGAGCUAUGUUGGCACUCGUCAACUAGAAAGCUCAUGUCUGGUAACUGGUAACUGGUAACUGGUAACUGGUUACUGGUUACUGGUUACUGGUCACUGGUUACUGGUUACUGGUUACUGGCAAAUGAUUUACUCGUUCAUUAUAUUUUGAUCUACAGCAUACCAAUUUUCACAUUCAAUUUUUUUAUUUUCCAACUCAACAGAUCACUGAUUCAAAACAUGAUGGUUAUAUUUCAUAUAAACUUAUUUUGAGGAUCAGGUUG